UAUAUCGCAUUUCUAUAUUACCCCUCGUAUUUCCUCCAUGCCCGGCACUCUCGUCAGGACCUCUACAGGCUACGUCACAGAGCUGCAGCUGCUGGUAUAAAAAGCUCCGUCUGAUGCCAGCAGCCACAUUAGAGAGAAGCUGCGUCUGUGGGCAUCCUCCUCCACCUGGCCAAAAAUAAUAAAUAAUAAUAAUUACUGCAAAAACUAAAACAACAUGUCCAAAAUGACGAUCGUUUCGCUCGGAGUGCUUGUGUUCCUCAUAUGUUUAACAGCGUUGGCCUCCUCGAAUGUAACCGCAGCAGCCGCAUCAGAGAACGCAACCUCCAACGCCAACACCACCACCAUGGCCACAGGCACCUUCAGCAGUUCGGCCAACUCAACCACCUCCACCGGGGCAGGCGUCUCGCUGCACCCAGGCACCUUGUCUUUCCUGGUCCCUGUCAUCAUGGCAGCCUCUCUCCUGCAGCGCUACUGUUGAAGCCCCGGACCUCCACGUGGCCCCCCUUCUUCUCUGCCUCCUCCUUCUCCUUCUCCUUCUCCUCCUCAUCCUCCUUCAAUUACCCCACCCAGUCCAGCCUCGCUCCUCUCCACCUUCACUGCACAGAGACCACGAGACUAACAUGGAUGGCCUCUGCAACCUUCUUUUUUUGUCCUCCUUAAGUAAUGAUUAAAAAAAAAAAAAGAUAUGUAAUUCAAGACAUUUCUUUCAAUAAAAGGGGGGUUUAAAUCUUCAAGCUGGAGACCCCCAUCAGCCCCUCCACGCAUGGAAUCAAAAGGAACGGGCUGUUCACCCAGCUUCCCUUUUGGCUUGCGUUUCCAUAGUCACGCCAUCACAUUUUGGAGAUGCUCAGGGCUGCGGUUGUCAUGUCACAUGUCUUGAUUGAAAUGCGGACCACUUGAGUAUGUACAGAGGUUCUUUCUGUGGCUUCACAUCCACCUGGCAAUCAAUAUCUGAAUGUUUUUUGUCUGUUAAGUGAAGUUUGGCACAUACAAUAGGGGAUUUAAAACACAAACAAAGAAGCCAGAUGACAUUCUUAGUUGUUUUUUUUUUUCUUUUUUUCCUUCAAAAUUUGGCUCUCCGGUCUUUUUUUAUUAGCAAUGUCAAAGAGAUGUAUGUAGCAAAUAAGUUGCCGCAGGACUUGUGUCAGUUUUGCCUUGUGAUUUUUAAAGAGUUGUGGUCUUUUACAAUGAGGGUUUGAUUGACACCUUUCCCCCCCCCCACCCACCUUCUAUGGGUUAGACCCAGGAGAUGACUGUAUGUGUAACCAUAUGGGAAGGGUUGAUGUUAGAUUUAUAUUCCCCCCCCUAUAGUUUAUAUUUUGUAUAAAUGGAAAUGUACUGUUUAUUAGUUUGGGUAUAAGAUAAUGGAAGAAAUCUACAAUAAAUAAUGAAAAAUGA